CCAGACGAGGUCGAGCUCCCACGUGACGUAGAGCGAGAUCGGGAUGACGUUGAGCGCGAUCGCCCAGCGCCCGCGCGAGAGGAAGUCGCGCGCGAGGCCGGUCAGCGCCGUCCACGCCGCGACGGCGGUCUCCGGCGUGCGCUCCCCCCGCAGCCACGGUGUCGCCGGGUCCACGAGCCGGAACGCAUAGCGCGACGCCGCGACGUUCUCGGCCAGGACGAGCACGACGACGGCCGUGCACAGCCUGAGCAGAUCGGCUGCCGACAUGUCCUGGUACAGGGGCAGCAGGGCCACGCCGGUGAGCCCCACGACGUACGCGGGCGACAGCAGGAAGACGAGCGCCAGCCGCGGGUACUGGGCGCCCGCCCGGC
rnacentral:misc_RNA from 1 species